AUUGAACGCUGGCGGCAGGCCUAACACAUGCAAGUCGAACGAGUGGCGGACGGGUGAGUAAUGUAUGGGAAACUGCCUGAAGGAGGGGGAUACCUACUGGAAACGGUAGAUAAUAACGCAUACCAUCAGAUGUGCCCAGAUGGGAUUAGCUGGUUGGGGGGGUAACGGCUCACCAGGGCGACGAUCCCGAGCUGGUCUGAGAGGAUGACAAGCCACACUGGAACGGAGACAGGGUCCAGACUCCCACGGAAGGCAGCAGUGGGGAAUAUUGCACAAGGGGCGCAAGCCUGAGGCAGCCAGACCGCGUGUAUGAAGAAGGUCUUCGGGUGGCAAAGUACUUUCAGCGGGGAGGCGUUACCCGCAGAAGAAGCACCGGCUAACUCCGUGCCAGCAGCCGCGGUAAUAC
rnacentral:rRNA from 1 species